rnacentral:rRNA from 1 species
GCAUAUCAAUAAGCGGAGGAAAAGAAACUAACAAGGAUUCCCCUAGUAACUGCGAGUGAAGCGGGAAAAAGCUCAAAUUUAAAAUCUGGCAGUCUUUGGCUCGUCCGAGUUGUAAACUAGAGAAGUGUUACCCGCGUCGGACCGUGUACAAGUCUCCUGGAAUGGAGCAUCAUAGAGGGUGAGAAUCCCGUCUUUGACAUGGACUACCGAGGCUUUUGUGGUGCGCUCUCAACGAGUCGAGUUGUUUGGGAAUGCAGCUCAAAAUGGGUGGUAAAUUCCAUCUAAAGCUAAAUAUUGGCGAGAGACCGAUAGCGAACAAGUACCGUGAGGGAAAGAUGAAAAGAACUUUGGAAAGAGAGUUAAACAGUACGUGAAAUUGCUGAAAGGGAAACGCUUGAAGUCAGUCGCGUUGGCCGGAAAUCAACCCUGCUUCUGUUGGGUGUACUUUCUGGUUGACGGGCCAGCAUCAGUUUUGACCGGUGGAAAAAGUCCAAGGGAAUGUGGCAUCUCCGGAUGUGUUAUAGCCCUUGGUCGUAUACAUCGGUUGGGACUGAGGAAUUCAGCACGCCGCAAGGCCGGGUUUCGACCACGUUCGUGCUUAGGAUGCUGGCAUAAUGGCUUUAAUCGACCCGUCUUGAAACACGGACCAAGGAGUCUAACAUACCUGCGAGUGUUUGGGUGGAAAACCCGGACGCGUAAUGAAAGUGAAAGUCAGGAUCCCUGUCAUGGGGAGCACUGGCGCCCGCACCUGAAGUUUACGGACGGAUGUGAGGUAAAGCAUGUAUGCUAGGACCCGAAAGAUGGUGAACUAUGCCUGAAUAGGGUGAAGCCAGAGGAAACUCUGGUGGAGGCUCGUAGCGAUUUCUGACGUGCAAAUCGAUCGUCGAAUUUGGGUAAUAGGGGCGAAAGACUAAUCGACCAUCUAGUAGCUGGUCUGC